GACGAACGCUGGCGGCGUGCCUAAUACAUGCAAGUUGAGCGCUGAAGGUUGGUACUUGUACCAACUGGAUGAGCAGCGAACGGGUGAAUAACGCGUGGGGAAUCUGCCUUUGAGCGGGGGACAACAUUUGGAAACGAAUGCUAAUACCGCAUAAAAACUUUAAACACAAGUUUUAAGUUUGAAAGAUGCAAUUGCAUCACUCAAAGAUGAUCCCGCGUUGUAUUAGCUAGUUGGUGAGGUAAAGGCUCACCAAGGCGAUGAUACAUAGCCGACCUGAGAGGGUGGUCGGCCAAAUUGGGACUGAGAAACGGCCCAAACUCCUACGGGAGGCAGCAGUAGGGAAUCUUCGGCAAUAGACGAAAGUCUGACCGAGCAACGCCGCGUGAGUGAAGAAGGUUUUCGGAUCGUAAAACUCUGUUGGUAGAGAAGAACGUUGGUGAGAGUGGAAAGCUCAUCAAGUGACGGUAACUACCCAGAAAGGGACGGCUAACUACGUG
rnacentral:rRNA from 1 species